GACGAACGCUGGCGGCGUGCCUAAUACAUGCAAGUUGAGCGCUGAAGGUUGGUACUUGUACCAACUGGAUGAGCAGCGAACGGGUGAGUAACGCGUGGGGAAUCUGCCUUUGAGCGGGGGACAACAUUUGGAAACGAAUGCUAAUACCGCAUAAAAACUUUAAACACAAGUUUUAAGUUUGAAAGAUGCAAUUGCAUCACUCAAAGAUGAUCCCGCGUUGUAUUAGCUAGUUGGUGAGGUAAAGGCUCACCAAGGCGAUGAUACAUAGCCGACCUGAGAGGGUGAUCGGCCACAUUGGGACUGGGACACGGCCCAAACUCCUACGGGAGGCAGCAGUAGGGAAUCUUCGGCAAUAGACGAAAGUCUGACCGAGCAACGCCGCGUGAGUGAAGAAGGUUUUCGGAUCGUAAAACUCUGUUGGUAGAGAAGAACGUUGGUGAGAGUGGAAAGCUCAUCAAGUGACGGUAACUACCCAGAAGGGGACGGCUAACUACGUG
rnacentral:rRNA from 1 species